rnacentral:lncRNA from 1 species
GCACCCUUAGUGUUUCUCUUUCAUUUGUUGAGUCCUUUUCUUUUCUUAUUCAUUUGUUCUUAAUACUUAAACUCAUAUGAACUUACUUACAACUUCGUGGCCCAAAGUUACCUCUUUCAAUCAUCACCACCCCCAACAUAGGCUUUUAGCCUCAAGUUGUAAUUUUAAGUUCAAGGAUGGUAGGGUUCAAAAGAGGAAUAAAAGUUGAAAGUCUCAC